CCUACGGGAGGCAGCAGUCGAGAAUUAUUCACAAUGGGGGAAACCCUGAUGGUGCGACGCCGCGUGGGGGAAUGAAGGUCUUCGGAUUGUAAACCCCUGUCAUGUGGGAGCAAAUUAAAAAGAUAGUACCACAAGAGGAAGAGACGGCUAACUCUGUGCCAGCAGCCGCGGUACUACAGAGGUCUCCAGCGUUGUUCGGAAUAACUGUGUGUAAAGCGUGUGUAGGCUGUUUCGUAAGUAGUGUGUGAAAGGCGCGGGCUCAACCCGCGGACGGCACAUGAUACUGCGAGACUAGAGUUGUAGAGGGGUAACCGGAAUUCUUGGUGUAGCAGUGAAAUGCGUAGAUAUCGAGAGGAACACUCGUGGCGAAGGCGGGUUCCUGGACAUUAACUGACGCUGAGGCACGAAGGCCAGGGGAGCGAAAGGGAUUAGAUACCCCUGUAGUC
rnacentral:rRNA from 1 species